AUGACGAUUUUGAAAGAGACAACAAAAGAAAACCCAGAGCACGAAGAGAAAUACAAUGUAUACUCCAACGUGCAUGCCUCAUACCUUGCACGUACGUGCAUUCCACCAACCAACCUGAAGCUAGCGGACACGCCGAGUCGCCGACACACCGUCUCAAAAACCCGAGACUUGUCACCUCAUCAUCUCGGCUUCUCCCCUUCAAAAACACCACAGAUUUCAUACAACAUCGGCUUCGCUGCUCCUCCCUGUCAACGUGUCAAGCUAGCCGGGGGGCGGCAACAGCAGACAUGCUACGCUACAGCACGACGCCGCAGGCCUCACCGCCGAUGUCGCCGCUGCGCCCGCCGCCGACGCCCCGCACUCCAGGCGGCGGCGGCGCGACCCCCGAGCUGCCCCCGCCGCCCUCGCCGCGCACGCCACGCCCCGCGAUCACGCUCACUGCGCCCCCGUCCAAGAAGAAGCGCCGCGGCGCCGCGCGCUCCCUGCGCGCCAUCCGCGCCGUGCGCGCGCUGUUCCGGUCGCUCCCGAUCCUGGCCCCGGCGUGCCGCUUCCACGGCGUCAUCCGGGCGCCCGGCGGCGCGUCGCGGGCGCACGACGGCCACAUCAGCGGCGCGUCGCGCACGACGGGGACCCUGUUCGGGUACCGCAAGGCGAGGGUGACCCUUGCGGUGCAGGAGACCCCCGGGAGCGUCCCCAUCCUGCUGUUGGAGCUCGCCAUGCAGACCGGCAGGUUCAUGCAGGAGAUGGGCGCCGAGCACCUCCGCGUGGCGCUCGAGUGCGAGAAGAAACCGCCGGGCGCCGGCGCCGGCAUCGGCCGCACGCGGCUGCUGGACGAGCCGCUGUGGACGGCGUAUGUCAACGGGCGAAAGAUCGGGUACGCCAUGCGCCGGGAGCCCACGGAGGGCGAUCUCACCGUCAUGCAGCUGCUGCGCACCGUGUCGGUCGGUGCCGGCGUUCUGCCGACCGACGUCAUGGGAGGCGACGCCGCCGAGGUGCAGGACGCCGGUGAUCUCGCGUACAUGCGCGCGCGUUUCGACCGCGUCGUGGGGUCCCGCGACUCCGAGUCGCUCUACAUGCUUAACCCUGACGGCAACAACGGGCCGGAGCUCAGCAUCUUCUUCAUUAGAAUAUGAGAAAUCUGUUAGUUCUCUCCCUUCUGGUUUUAGAGUCGGUGUGAUUUUGCAGAUGACAAAAUAGCGUAGCUCACACAACGCUGCAGUUCUUGACUUGGCGGGUCAAAACUAGAUGCGGCACUCCCAUC